GGAAAAAAGUGCAGAAGGUGUAAUAAGAAAAGUCACCCAGUGGGAGUUUAUCUUUGGGAGCCUGAGCUACCAUGGCCUCAUCAUGGUGGAGAUUCUAAACACUGUCCCCAGUGCAGAAAUAGAGCUCAGAAAACUUAGAGGAAUGAAGGGUUAACAUGUUCUUUAGGCUGACUUUCUCAAAUAUCCAGUGUCUCGGCCAAGCUUUUAACUGGAGCAGUCUGAGAGGACAGGACAGCCAGGUACUUGAAAAGGACCCAAUGGCCAUAAACCUCUCUGAACAGGUGGCCUCAAUGCUUUGUGCUUUCAUCUAUGUAGUUAUCACCCUGCAGAGCAGUGUGUGUGUUCGUGUUUUUUUCCUUCCUGUCUUCCCCUCUGAACUGUGGGUUUACUCAUCCUUGACUCCUAGCACCUAGUGAAGACUUUGACACAUGGGCCCAGAGAGAUUCUUGUUGAAAGUAUGAAUGGCAGGGGGAGAAGGGGAGAUGCUUCUCUUUCUUUUCUGACAUUGUAUUAAGUGUCACCUUCUGGCUUAGUUUUGUCCAAAAUGAAUGUUUGCUGCCUGGGUUAUAUCAUAUGUCCAUGUCACAGCUGAGUGUUUUGCUAGAAGGAUUUGUUUUAGUGUCUGAGCUGGUUAAGUAAUAGAUAGCAGGUUAACUCCUUGCUUUAUUUAAAGUCAUUUUGCGUAGUUGAUUUGAUUCCUCAUUCAGCCUACAAAAAUUUAUGUAUCUUCUGUGUACUAGCUAGCCAUUUAGCAGCUCAGCGUGUAGCCUAGUGACCUAUGAGACAAUAAGCAUAUAUUCAUACAAAGAGAUUCUGAAGUAGUCUCCACCUUGAUGGAAUGGAUAUGCAUAUUGGGGUCUCUCAGAUAGCCCCCUAGAUGAAAUAAAAUGCUUUUAAUCUGAGAGGUGAUUGUUUUGUGGAUUUUGUCACCCAGAUAUAUUCAUGAAAAUUGCAAUGCAAGUCAACCAGUUUUCUCCUGGAAUCCACGUGGUGUGGGGUUGAAUGAAUACGUUUAGGCCAGUGAGUCUCCGAUUAAGGAUGUUCACUCUCUGCCUUAAGCUCCCAACUCAACUCCUUAGUCAAUUAUGGACUUUAAGCAAGUGGGCUUAGGGGGCGUAUACAAAUCACUGAAUCACAAAGAAUAUAUUUCCAGAGUUCCCAUUGUGGCGCAGCCAGGGAUCGAACCCGCAACCUCAUGGUUCCUAGUCGAAUUCGUUAACCACUGUGCCACAACGAGAACGCCCUGAAAAAAAAUAUUUUUAAUAAAGCCCGGGGAAGUAUUCCUGACUUCUCCUUUCCCCCAGCUUUUGCACUCAGUCUGGCACUAUGACCAGGUGAAAGCAAAGAAAAAAAUAAUUUCCAUUCCCGGGCCCCCAUGCCUCUUUCUCGUUUCUUCCAACAUUGGUAGCUAAGAGCCAGUCAGCGGACUUGUGUUCUCAUGAUCCCUCUGGAUGCUAGAGAGUGUUCUAAGCCCUGAUAGUGGGCCUGGGGCCUCUCCUGGCCUGGCCCCUGACCUUCCUCUAUCGCUGCAGGGUAGGAGUUGGAGCCAGGCUCCUGGGUCCGCCCCCACCUCGGUAAACGCAGACCCUCGUGACCCUGAAACUGUUGAGCAAACACGAAGUGAAAUAGCCCCAUGCUCUAUUAGAGGCUGGAGUUUAAAGGUCAGCGCUGUGCUUAUCGGCUGAGCCUGAUUCACUCCCUAAAUGACUCUGGGGGAGUUUCAGGCUGGCAGUAUGGACUGAGAAGAUGAGCCUUUCUGUGCAGACUGGGGAGCUGUUUGCUUUGCCUGGAGCUGUCUUUGCCAACAGGAACACUGCAGGUCAGCAGCAGGUGGGAGAUAAACAUAGGUCCCCUUUGAGGAGCGAUUCCUUCUGACUUUGACUUAGAGAAAGCUCAAGGUACAUGUGGUCCAUUGGUCGCUUGUGGCUUUCAGCUCUUUCCCGCGAAAAUCAGAAAAUCUCCACCAGAAACAAUUUCAUGAUGGAAACAGUGUCAACAGGCAGAUAAUGAGUAAUUGAAAGACAGAUGUGUCAAAGCUCCUAUCAUACAGAAACCAGUGGUGGAAUUUGGAGAUUUCAGGUCAUUUUUGCUCCUUAGCAAAAGCUGGAAAUGGGGGAGGGCAAAAUUUUCAGAAGUUAUCUUAAGUAUUUUUAUUUCCAUUUAAAGAAAACAAUUCUCCUAAUUUUUAAAGCAUUUUAUUGCAAAGGGAACAUACCAUCGUAGUGGGCCUGUAUAUAUGAAUGAUUUGGGAUUUAGGGUGAGACGGUAACGAGCUAAGGGAAAGAGUCACGAGGAUUACUCAGAGCUGCUGCUGGACGUGUCUGCAUGUCCGUGGCACUUUAAGAUUGCAACAUUUUGUUUGGUGACCUUCAUACCACCCGACUGCAUGCACCUUAAUCUCUCUCUCAAAAAAAGCUGAGCCUGCUAUAGAUUUGGUGGGUUGCUUUUUUUUUUUUUUUUUAAACUCAGUUUCUCAUUUACCUCCUGCUUUAUGACUCCUGGUUUAAUUUGUACAAAAGGAUGAAGUUCAUUAUUACAUAACUCAGAAACCCAUCUUGGAGGUUUUAGGAAAAAUAAGUGCCAGGGUUUUUAUGGAUGGAGCCUGAAAAAACCUCGUAGAUAAUUCAGGGGGGCACACUUUUUAAGAGAAGUAAAGAAUGCUUCCAAACAAUUGUAGAAUAGCUACACAAGUGCACAAAGGGGAGGAAAAUGCCAGUUUGAGGGUAAUAAAGUAUCCUGCAGAACUUUAUUUAAGUUGGAACUUAUAACUAAAAGUUAACAAGCAGAGUAAAUGACAGGACUUUGAAGCUUUCAUGAGGGAUGCCAAUUUGUCAAUGUGGCGCCUGUCUGUGUAGCUCAGGCUGGCUGUCAGAUUCUCUGCCCCUAUGUAGGAAUUGCUUUGUGAGUAUUCAGUCUUUAUUUUUCAAGAAUUAAUGAAGUGAACUUUCAGACUAUUGAGUAAAUAUUGCACGGUCCCUGAGCUACGGUUGUACAGUAGACCCAUGGAAAUUUGAUUGCUUAAAGAGUUAAAUGAGACUCAGUUGUCUAAGAAUAUUAAACAAUUAAGUUGUGAUACUUUGAUCAAAAGGGUAUAACUUCCUCCCUCCUUGUUUCCUUACUAGCUAACUAAUUCUUCUUCCUUCUUCUCUCUCUUCCCUCCUCCUUCCUUCAUCUCUUUGCUCAAUUAUUCUUAUCAUGUCCAUUUGAGAGUAGCUUAUUUCUGUCUCUAAAAUUAUUCGUUUUAAGGCAAAGCAAAGAACCUGAAAGCCAAGUUAGUGUCUUUUUUUAACCUCCUACUAUUCUAAACGUAAUCUUCUCUCCCUCCACCCCAUUAUUCGUGGUUACUAAAACUAGCUUUUAUUCAGACAGCCUCGCCAGUGUAUUGCCUCCUUUGUGUUAGAUAUUCUCAUAUAUAUAGUAUUUAGCUAAAUGAUAAGGCUGAUGGUCUUGAAACUGGCUACCUUAUUUUGAAAAAUCUUCACUUACCUCUCUAAACCCAAUGCAGAUAGUCGCAGACUUUGUAGACAAGACAUUAUGCAGAAAACCAUUAACUUGAUGUUCCGUUUUCAGGAGAGACAGUCACAAAUUCCACUGCAAAGUAGAGCUAUUGGACUAAACACUGGUCUAUUAAUAACCAGGGAGAACAGUUUAGCUACUUUCCCUGCUGAGCUAAAAUAUAGUGCUGCCGUCUUUUCUCCCGUGGUAUUCUCCAGUGUGGGUUACUUGGUCCUGGGAAUUUCCUGUCCAAAAAGUCAUUUUGGUCAAUCAGGCAUUGCACAGUCCCGGGACCGGUUAAUGUGGCAGUGGUGUGGCCUGCUGAGUUUUAAUGUGAGAGUGGCCUGCCGGGGUUUCAGAAAUGAAUCAUCCAUCUUUGAGCCCAUGAAAACAGUCAGGAGCAGUUUCAAAGUCAGGAAGAUUCAAGAUAACUGGUAUACCGUGUUCAGCAGGCUUCUACUGAAGCCUGUCUGCAGGUAGCUUGCAUUCAAGAGCAGGAAACCCUCAUUUCUAAACAACUUUUGGUUUCCCUUUGUCCUUCCUUUGCUUCUCAUUGACUGGCUUUGUCCACCUCGAAUCCGAGGGCUGCCUUCCCAUCACUGCCUCUCUCAGAUUCAGAAUUGGGCCUGUGCUUUCAGACUCAUGUCAUUUCUGCUCUCACUUCCCCCUGCCUUACCUUUGUCCUUGACCUUAUUUUGGCUGGUUGGUUUGCCAUUCUCCACAUUUGUCCCUCCCUGGCCUUUGUGUGGGCUCCUCUGUCAUUUAUUUUUAACCCGUGGCACACAGCCCUUCCCUGUCAUCCGCCAGCCUGCAUUCUCCCCCACUAGUGUCAGCUCAAGUCUUGUCUUCUCUGUAAGGACCUUCCUGUAUUUGAAUCUAGAAUCUCUACCCAGGACUUGCUAACUCUUGACCAUCUUCAUACAUGUGUGGUCAAACAACCUCAAUUUUCUGUGAACAUUCAAAGACUAAGAUAUAUAUUUCUUAUAUGUUUUAUGAUCUCAUGACAGGGGUGUGUCUUGGUUCAAGAAAUGAACUUCCAGGUUGUGGCUCUGGCAGGAUGGGAGGCAAACAAGUUUGUUUUAAUAAAGAUCCAUCUCUCAGGCUGCUUCUUUUUUUAAAAAAUUUUUAAUGAUUUUUUAUUGUUUCCGUUAUAGUUGAUUUACACUGUUCUGUUCAUUUCUACUGUAUAGCAAAAUGACCUAAAUAUAUAUAUGUGUGUAUACACACACACACACACACACAUAUAUAUAUAUAUUCUUUUUCUCACAUUAUUCUCCAUCGGGUUCCAUCACAAGUGACUGGAUAUAGUUCCCUGUGCUGUACAGCAGGAUCUCAUUACUUAUCCACUCCAAAUGCAGGAGUUUGCAUCUACUGACCCCAGGCUUAGGCUGCUUCUUUAUCUAAUGGAGCAAGCUAGGGGAAGGCCUGCUUAUCUUGGUGUUUUAGCUUUCCUAAUUGGUAACAAUUGUCUCUGGAAAAUUGUUGUAUGUGGUUAUCCAAGCUGAUCAUUAAUAUUAUUAACACUGUAAAUUUCAUUGUUUAAUCACUUCUGACAGUAUUUAUUGCCUUUCUCAGAGUUAAUCAGUAACAGUUUUUCUAAGGGUAGCUUUUUCCCCCAUCUUAACCAUUUUUAAGUAUACAGUUCAGUGGGGUGUUAAGGUCAUUUCCAUUGUGUAACCCUCACCACCAUCUCCAGAAUUCUUCAGCUUGCAAAACCAAAGCUCUUAUACCCAUUAAACAGUAACUCCCUGUUUCCCCUCCUGCCAACUCCUGGCUACCAUCAUUCUACUUCCCAUCUCUAUGAAAUUAACUACUCCAAGUACCUCAUAUAAGUGGAAUAUGGUAUUUGCGUUUUGUGACAGGCCUAUCUCACUUGGCAUAAUAUCCUCAAGGUUCAUCCAUGUUGUGGCAUAUGUCAGAAUUUUCUGGAGUUCCCUUGGUGGCUUAGCAGGUUAAGAACCUGACACAGGGUCUAUGAGGAUGCAGGUUCAAUCCCUGGCCCAGGAACUUCUACAUGCUGCAGACAUGGCAAAAAAAAAACAAAAAACAAUAAACAAACAAACAAAAAA
rnacentral:lncRNA from 1 species